UACAGAGAAGGAAUCUAUGCCUGGUA
rnacentral:piRNA from 1 species